CUAGUAUUACCCUAGGAAUACCUGGUACUUGGAAAUGUAGAACUAUGAAUUAUUAAUCAACCAUCUUUAAGAUUAUCCUGCAAAUAAUGACUCAUUGAAGAUGAGUUAACAAUCUGGAAAUAUAAAAACAUGAAACUAUAGAUUCUUUAAGCACAAGUGCAACAUGUUUUAACCCUGAAAAAAAAUUACUUCACUAUUUUGUAGUGAUACUAAAUAAGUAUGUUUAAAACUAUCAUAGAUAUAAGAAAAAUCAAAAUACUACAAAUAAAAAAAUAUUUUUACAUAAUCAGGCUUUCAGAAAUGAAAAAUAUUGUCCUAGAAAAUUUAUUCUGUGACUGAGUGAAAAUUCUCCAUGACUCCUAUGUGAUUGGUCCCUGGGCCCAAAAUAUAAACCAAAGAGUACUUCAAAGAUGAAGUACUCUUUAUCAUUCCAUUUUUAAAUUCCUGUGUUUAGCCCUGGAAUGUUGAGGGAGAGGGCCAGGCUAACGUAACAGUAUUUGACCAAUUAUUAACACCCACAUCAAUGGGAAUGAAGCUAAUAUUAAAAUAGUCUAGCAUGUGUUCAAAGUAAGGGAGAGACAACUCUUUCCAAACAAUAUCCUNUUCUCUUAUAAAUAUUGAUUUUUACCUCCCCACACUCUUUGAUUGUUCCCUUAUGAUUCACAAAUACAUUAGUUACUCCAGUCUCAAAGAUAAUAUUCUCAUUAAUUACAUUGAUGAACAACACACAUACAUACACAGAGAGAGAGUGAGAGAGAGAAAGUCAGAGAGAAAUACACAAGUCCUGAAUUACAGGUCAGUAAACAAAUACAUGUAUGUGUGUCAAACAUCACUGCCAAGAAACACACAUACUAUUUCCACUCAAAUCUCCUCCUGUAUUGAUAUUUGUAAAUACCCAAUGAGUCAUACGUUGAACCUUAACCCAAUUUUAAGCAUCAUGCUAGGAACUUAUAAUGUACCAAGCACACUGUAUUUAUCACACACCAUUUUACUUUAAGGUUUGCAUGAUAUACAUUCCAGAAACAUUCAGAAGAGAUCUUGAUAAAAUAAUAGAUAUGGGUGGUGAGCUUGGUUAACAUUUUAAACAGAGACAGUGACAUGUAAGAUCAUGAAUAUUUAAUUUGUUCAAAAAUAAGGAUUGAUUGUUUCAUUUGAGGUUUAAAUCUCUAGAGAAUGAGAGCAUGGAAAUGGAGAAUAAGGCAAAUAGCACCAUGUGUCUUAACCCAGGCUGGUAGGCAUGAGGAAUCUUGAGGGCAGGGCCUAGGUGUAAUAAACAUGGAGUACUGAAAGAUACCACUUCCCAAUUCAAAAAUAGAGAUAACUGUACAUGAUAAAAUAAGUAUAUGUGGGUGGAGGGCAUGGAGAAUUAAGUUGGGGAGAAAACUGUUAAGAGGUAGGCAGAAUGUAACCAGCUGUUUCAGCUAUAAUUUCUUGUCCCUGUGUGGAGCUCUAAAGUUUGCUCAGGAAUUUUGGUUCUUCUGUGUUGUGACUGUGCCCUGGAAACCAUGAACUGGGCUGAGUCUCCAGGCUCAUUGUAAGCAGGUUGUCCAAAGAAAAAUUUCUCAAAAGAAUAGAAAUUCUACUAUCUCAUAAAUUCUGACCUAAUCAGAAAUAGAGCUUUAGAGAGUAGCAUGGCUUCCAAUCCAAACCUCAACACCCUAUGAUAAUAUAGUGAGCACACAAGUUUGGUUUUUAGAAGGAUACAAAUUUUAUAUUCUAUGAAGUCAUGAGCCAUAUCUAUUCUUACAGCUCAGCACAUGAUAUUCAGAAAAUUUGUUGUUUGAAUAAACAAAUGAAGUGAGUUCCUAGUGUAUCCAUAUGAUCUUUGUUCCAUUUUCUAGGAGCUUCAUACUUAACACUUAUAUUAGCCACAAUCUCUGUACACUUUGGAGGACAAUGCCUGGAUUCAUGAGGAAAGAGUUUCUGAAUAGAAAUAAUUACGCAACUCCCCUUUCACCCUCUUUCUCUUUUAUACUUAUAAGGGGAAAGGUAAAAGAGCAAAAUCUAGGUAGAUUAGUACAGGGGGAAUCUGAGCAUACCUGAAGAAAUCCAGUUCAGCAUCCCUGCUCAGUUCCUGAAAGAAAGGUAUAGCUUGGACCUAUUCUUUCAUAAUAUUGCCCUACUGGCACAUUCUCUCUCUCUCUCUCUCUCUCUCUUUUUUUUUUGGGGGGGGGCGGUGGAUUUCUGUUUCUGUCCAAUUGACAGAACCUCAUCACAUAUAUAUUUUACUUUUUGGAGAGUGAAGAGGAGGAAUUCAGUGGAUACAUUUUGUGAAAAAAAAAUUUUUUAGAAGUCCUAUCAGGGAAUAGGUGGUAGAAUUCAUAGGCAUAGUAUCCACAACAUAUAAUAUUAGUCAAACCUAAAAGGAAAGAACAAACAUAAAAUUAAACCAUGCCUAGUAUUACCCUAGGAAUACCUGGUACUUGGAAAUGUAGAACUAUGAAUUAUUAAUCAACCAUCUUUAAGAUUAUCCUGCAAAUAAUGACUCAUUGAAGAUGAGUUAACAAUCUGGAAAUAUAAAAACAUGAAACUAUAGAUUCUUUAAGCACAAGUGCAACAUGUUUUAACCCUGAAAAACAAUUACUUCACUAUUUUGUAGUGAUACUAAAUAAGUAUGUUUAAAACUAUCAUAGCUAUAAGAAAAAUCAAAAUAAUACAAAUAAAAAAAUAUUUUUACAUAAUCAGGCUUUCAGAAAUGAAAAAUAUUGUCCUAGAAAAUUUAUUCUGUGACUGAGUGAAAAUUCUCCAUGACUCCUAUGUGAUUGGUCCCUGGGCCCAAAAUAUAAACCAAAGAGUACUUCAAAGAUGAAGUACUCUUUAUCAUUCCAUUUUUAAAUUCCUGUGUUUAGCCCUGGAAUGUUGAGGGAGAGGGCCAGGCUAACGUAACAGUAUUUGACCAAUUAUUAACACCCACAUCAAUGGGAAUGAAGCUAAUAUUAAAAUAGUCUAGCAUGUGUUCAAAGUAAGGGAGAGACAACUCUUUCCAAACAAUAUCCUUUUCAGUUAACUGCGGAGUUCAUCUGGUGCUGUUUCCUUUCUGGACCUGCAGACUAAAAGUUUCAGGAAAUCAGUUUGUAUAGUUGGCAGUAUAUCUCCUAAAUAUUUUUUUUAAUUUUUGAGAUUUUGGUUUUAUAUUAAUUUUUUAAUUGACACACAAAAUUGUUCAUGUUUACAGAGUGCUAUAUUAUGUAUUAAUGGAUAUGUAUUCUAUAUAAUGUUCAAAUUAGCAUGGGCACAUCUGUCUCCUUAAACCUUUAUUAUUUCUUUGAAAUGAAAAUAUAGGUAAGUUCAACAACAAAUGAGACAUAAAUGGAGAGCAUUACCUACAUAUAAAUAAGUGAGAUAAAUAGAAAAUAUGAAAGAGAGAUUAAGAUAAAUCAAGAUAAAAAUUUAAAGUACAAUUACUUUAUCAAAGUACAAUUACUUAAUCAAAGAUAUUUCUAAGAAUUCUUGAGAAUAGAGUCAGAAUGCAAAUUCUUAGAAUUGGGAAACAUCAUAAUCUUGCUAUAAGAUUGACAAAGUAAAUUCAACCCCAAGUAUACUAUACCGAAAAUUUAAAACUCCAAUAUAAAGAUUUCAAUAUAACUAUUGAGAAAAUACCUUCCAAGGAAUGAUUUGUCAAACAGUAAAUUUUUCAAAAUCAAUCAUGGAAAGAUAGACAAGAUAGUGUGUUGAAGAUAAAGAACAUUCACAGUCGGACAAAAAUAAAGAUAAAUAAAGACAUUUUAAGGCAAAAUGAUAAACAGGUUUUAAAAAGACUAAUGGAAAGAAUCUAAUCAGAAAAAUUAAUUUGAACACAGACGAAAUACGAUAAUCAGGAACAAAUGGUGAGCUAACAAAUGGGUUACUCUGCAGUUGGAUACAAAUAGGCUUUGAUGUUCUAAACCCCCAAAAUACUAAUUAUUAAUGCAAAACUGAUAAAAGAGGUAUAAUCAAAGUAUUUGAUAUCAAUAAUAUGUAAGAAAAUGACCAGAAUUUAAAAGUAUCCUCCGCUCCUUAUAUUGCUCAGAGAAAAGGUAAAGUCAUUGACACAGACAUUACCCUGCCCUCAAGAAAAAAGAGAAACAGCCUAAUCUAUGGUCUUCCCAUGAGAAAGCCACUUGCUCAAUAUGAAGUGCAUAGAGAUUUUUAAAGAUUGGAGAGUUUCCUUAUUUGUUAUUAACUGUUAUAACAAAUCAUCACAAACAUGAGCUUGACACAAUAUGAAUUUUUUCUUACAGUCCGGGAGAUCAGAAUUCUAAGUAAUGUCAUAUGAGUCUAAAAUCAAGGUAUUGACACUAUUGGUCUCUUCCAGAGGUUCAAGUGCAGAAUGUUCCUUCUCUCUUCCAGCUCUAGAGGAUUUUUGAAUUCCUUGGUUUAGAGCUCCAUUCUCUCUCUCCCACUCCUACCUUUCAAUAUUGGUGGUCAAGUCAACCCAGCAGAGCCUCUCUAGUCUUAUUUAAUUUAAAUUUAAAUUUAUUUUGAAAGAAACUCUCACAUGGUUGCUGGGGCUGGCCUUGGACUUGUAACCUUCCUGUAUCAUUUUUCUAGAAUCACUGAGAUUGUGGGAAUGUGCCAUUGCACCCAGCAUUCCUUGCUCUCUUUCUUUACUCUGACUUCUUCAAACUGUUGUCACAGCAUUUCUCCUGCCUUUUCACCUUCAGGCUUCAUUCUUAAAAAUAUCCUUAGGAUUAUAUAUGUAGGAUCCUCCCUUAUAAUUCAAAACAAUCUCACCACAAGCUCCUUAAUUGAAUAACACUUAUAAUGUUCUCUUGGUCACAGAAGAUAAUAUUCACAGGUUUCAGGAAUUAAGAUAUGAAUAUCUUAGGGAGGCAUCAUUAAACUUUCUAUGACCAUCAUGAAAUGUGUUACACAGAGUAAUAAAUGUAUAUUCAGGUAAUAAAUAUUAAAAUAUUUAAUAUUAAUUUCACUCUAGGUGACAACAGAGUAACAAGAUAUACACAUUGCAACCAGCUCAAUAAAGACCAUAUAUACACACCUAAGUUGGGCCAAAUUAACAUUAUUAAUACUCAAAUUUUAAAGAUUUUAUUCUCCAUGAGUUUCUGGCACACAGUGAGCAACUUUGUGAAUGAAAUAUUUAGUAUAUUUCUUUAAUUUCCAUUCAAUUUAACAGAAAUAAUGAGCAUAUAAAAAGAUGAUCCAUAACCUGGUCAUGUUCCCUGGAAAUAAGAAAACUCCAUUUUUUAUAUCAAACAUUUCUCUUCUUUCUCCUUUUGAGACCAGGAAUACCCAUAAGUGUAGAUGUUUCAACUAGAUAUGAGGGUGAAGAGUGAGAAGGGAAAUAUAAAUGUGGCUGAGAUCCAACUGAGCUCUCCUGUCUGCAACUGAUACAUGCAAAAUAAAGCCCAAGCCCAGAUCACAGCAAGAACACCAGGUCUUCUACUUUUCCUUGGGGAUAUGGUUAUUGCAUCUAUGUAUAACAAAGCUUGAGAUUCAAGGGAAAUCUAGAAAAGAAAUGCGUACAAGUUCAAGGAUAUAAGAGCAGGGUUGGGUUGGAAAAGACGUAACUAAAGAAAUGAUAGUUUUCUCAAAAAUAAAGGGGAAGACUCACUAAGUCUGAACCUGAAAAGUGACACUCUACUGGUAAUUGCAAGAAAGUAUCUGACAACCAGAGGGUACAGAUUGAAGAAUGUAAAAGGAUUCUUAAUAUUGUUAAUAACUGUUUUUACCUUCCAGAAAGAAGGGGUGAAGUUCCUAUUAUCUCUUCAUGGGUGAAGAAGGGAGGCAGAGAUUUAAAAUGGUUCUUAAUCUCUGGUCAUUCACAACCUCUUAUCUCCAUUAAAAAAAAAAAAAAAGAUGAAGUUUUACCUCACCCACCUAGUCUUAACAUGAUAGGUUCUCAAAUUUAUCUCUAUAAACAUGUACUCCUUCAUUCUCCAUUCCUUACUCCCUUUUCCUUAGACCCUCAUACAUACACAUAAACUCAUACCCUCACAGAUUAAAUCUUUCUAUUCACAUUCCACAGUGCAGGCAUUCCUCAAAUCUUCUUUCUUCUAACCUCAUGCUUUGAAUGACACAAUCUUCAUUCAACUCAUAGAAAUAACCCUACUUUAGUAGAAUGUCGAAUGGUGUAGUCCAAUUAAUAAUGCAUGACAUUAUCAAAACCCUUUUCCCUCUUUCAAACUCCUCUCUCUAUUCCAGAUUACAUAAUCCACUAUCUAGAAUCUCACAUCAUCUACCUCCUAUCCAUGAGUCACACUCAUUCAAUAACAUUCUGAUAGUCUUUGCAGAUCUUCCAAAAUGAAUAAGGUCACAGUCUCAUUCAAACCUAAUAGCUACAGUGUAACUGCUUGUCCUUCAAGAGUCCAUAGUUUACAGAUAACAGUCCAUGCAAGAGGAAAUAUACAGGUACCAAACAAUGCCACAAUGUCUCCCAGAUAUAUACUCACACUGUAUUCAAACACAAGAAAACCUCAGUCAUACACUCACUCAUAAAUAUGGUAAAAACAAUAGCCUAUACACAGACAUACAUAUGCCAGAGACAUUCACAAACAUGCAUACUUUCUAAAAAAGUUAUACCACAAACGAUAUAUUUUGUCAUCUCUACACCAAAAUCAUACACAUGACACUCUCCAGUGAUGUAAAAAAUAAAUGAUGCAAUUUGAGAGUAAAAAUUUGCUUAACAAAUUGAAACUUAUUGACAAAGGAAAGGACUUAUGUGCUUAUGAGUUCAUUUAUUAAGAAUUAAAAUUUUGCUAUUUAAUAAAGCUUGUGAAUUCAAAGGUAUGGCCCUUUCCAUUGGAAAUACAGAGGAAAAGGAAAUAAGUGAAAUUAGGAAGUUUUAUAAUAUAUUUUAAAUUCAUGGUAGAGGUAAAGUUGUUUGAACAGGACAGAGUAUGCAAGGGAAAAAACCCAGCGACUCAGAAUGUACUCUUAAAUUGGUAAUAUUCUAAGAUCAGAUCUGAUAUGAUGACAAGAGAUGAAAAACUUAGAACCCUGUGUGGGCAGGGGGACACUGUGUGAGCCUGAGAAUGUGCCAUACCAGUGACAAGGCCAAGGAGUUGCUGU
rnacentral:lncRNA from 1 species